rnacentral:tRNA from 1 species
AGCAGCGUGGCUUAGUGGAAAGAGCACGGGCUUGGGAGUCAGAGGUCAUGGGUUCUAAUCCCACCUCUGUCA